CCUANGGGCGGCAGCAGUGAGGAAUAUUGCGCAAUGGGGGAAACCCUGACGCAGCGAUGCCGCGUGAGUGAAGAAGGCCUUCGGGUCGUAAAGCUCUGUCAAGUGGGAAGAAUAGCCUGGGGACAAAUACUCCUCGGGUCUGACGGUACCACUGAAGGAAGCACCGGCUAACUCCGUGCCAGCAGCCGCGGUAAGACGGAGGGUGCAAGCGUUAUUCGGAUUUAUUGGGCGUAAAGAGAGUGUAGGCGGCCGGUCAAGCCAGAUGUGAAAGCCCAGGGCUUAACCCUGGAAGUGCAUUUGGAACUGGUUGGCUUGAGUUCGGGAGAGGGAAGUGGAAUUCCGGGUGUAGAGGUGAAAUUCGUAGAUAUCCGGAGGAACACCGGUGGCGAAGGCGACUUCCUGGACCGAAACUGACGCUGAGACUCGAAAGCGUGGGGAGCAAACAGGAUUAGAUACCCCANUANUC
rnacentral:rRNA from 1 species